rnacentral:rRNA from 1 species
AUACGUAGGGGGCAAGCGUUAUCCGGAUUUACUGGGUGUAAAGGGAGCGUAGACGGUUCUGCAAGUCUGGAGUGAAAGCCCGGGGCUCAACCCCGGGACUGCUUUGGAAACUGUGGAACUAGAGUGCAGGAGAGGUAAGUGGAAUUCCUAGUGUAGCGGUGAAAUGCGUAGAUAUUAGGAGGAACACCAGUGGCGAAGGCGGCUUACUGGACUGUAACUGUACGUUGGAGGCUACGAAAGCGGUGGGGAGC